GACGAACGCUGGCGGCGUGCUUAACACAUGCAAGUCGAACGAGAGCGUAGAGAAAGCUUGCUUUUUCUACAAUCUAGUGGCAAACGGGUGAGUAACGCGUAAACAACCUGCCCUACGGAUGGGGACAACAGCUGGAAACGGCUGCUAAUACCGAAUACGUUCCGAAAGUCGCAUGACUAUCGGAAGAAAGGAUGGCCUCUAUUUAUAAGCUAUCGCCGGAGGAGGGGUUUGCGUCUGAUUAGCUAGGUGGAGGGGUAACGGCCCACCAAGGCGACGAUCAGUCUCCGGUCUGAGAGGAUGAACGGCCACAUUGGGACUGAGACACGGUCCAGACUCCUACGGGAGGCAGCAGUGGGGAAUCUUCCGCAAUGGGCGAAAGCCUGACGGAGCAACGCCGCGUGAGUGAAGACGGCCUUCGGGUUGUAAAGCUCUGUUAUACGGGACGAAUAAUCUUGUGGUUAAUACCCAUGAGAAGUGACGGUACCGUAAGAGAAAGCCACGGCUAACUACGUG
rnacentral:rRNA from 1 species